AGCGAACGCUGGCGGCAGGCUUAACACAUGCAAGUCGAACGGAUCCUUCGGGAUUAGUGGCGGACGGGUGAGUAACACGUGGGAACGUGCCUUUUGGUUCGGAACAACACAGGGAAACUUGUGCUAAUACCGAAUGUGCCCUUCGGGGGAAAGAUUUAUCGCCAUUAGAGCGGCCCGCGUCUGAUUAGCUAGUUGGUGAGGUAAAGGCUCACCAAGGCUACGAUCAGUAGCUGGUCUGAGAGGAUGAUCAGCCACACUGGGACUGAGACACGGCCCA
rnacentral:rRNA from 1 species